AGUGAACGCUGGCGGUAGGCCUAACACAUGCAAGUCGAACGGCAGCACAGUAAGAGCUUGCUCUUACGGGUGGCGAGUGGCGGACGGGUGAGGAAUACAUCGGAAUCUACUUUUUCGUGGGGGAUAACGUAGGGAAACUUACGCUAAUACCGCAUACGACCUACGGGUGAAAGCAGGGGAUCUUCGGACCUUGCGCGAUUGAAUGAGCCGAUGUCGGAUUAGCUAGUUGGCGGGGUAAAGGCCCACCAAGGCGACGAUCCGUAGCUGGUCUGAGAGGAUGAUCAGCCACACUGGAACUGAGACACGGUCCAGACUCCUACGGGAGGCAGCAGUGGGGAAUAUUGGACAAUGGGCGCAAGCCUGAUCCAGCCAUACCGCGUGGGUGAAGAAGGCCUUCGGGUUGUAAAGCCCUUUUGUUGGGAAAGAAAAGCAGCAGGUUAAUACCCCGCUGUUCUGACGGUACCAAAAGAAUAAGCACCGGCUAACUGCGU
rnacentral:rRNA from 1 species